rnacentral:ncRNA from 1 species
GCGCCUUCCAGCACCCGGUGGCGGACGCCCUUGGCAGGCUUCGGCCGUCCGGCGCGCGCUUAACAACCAACUUAGAACUGGUACGGACAAGGGGAAUCUGACUGUCUAAUUAAAACAUAGCAUGGCGAGGG